AAAACGCGAAAAGUGUUAUGAUGUGCAGUCUUUGAGAAUGAGUAGUAUUUGAACGCAGCAUGUGGGGCACUCGUGCGCCAUGGUCUGUUGAGGGAGGGAUAGAGAUUGGUCACGUGCGUGAGCAAGGGUGGGGCGUGUGCACGUGGGCACUGCUCUGAAAGACUGUUAACAGCGCAAUGGGAUAAAAGGUCAUUGCGUUUACAUUUACUAAAGCUCCUCCUCAGCAGACCAAGAGGACCCGCUGAACUUAA
rnacentral:misc_RNA from 1 species